rnacentral:misc_RNA from 1 species
UACCAGCAAAACACUCCGAUGUUUUAGAGCUAGAAAUAGCAAGUUAAAAUAAGGCUAGUCCGUUAUCAACUUGAAAAAGUGGCACCGAGUCGGUGCUU